rnacentral:lncRNA from 10 species
AAUUGUCAGAUUCUAGUUUUUUAUUUAAAAAAAAUCCAUCCUGUUAGGAAUAUAUUCACCACAUAAAACCAAAAUAAGUCUGAUAUGGCUUGGCUGCUUCCCCACCCAAAUCUUAUCUUGAAUUGUAGCUCCCGUAAUUCCCACGUGUUGUGGGAGGGACCUGGGGGGAGGUAAUUGAAUCAUGGGGGUGGUUUUCCCCAUACUGUUUUCAUGGAAGUGAAUAAGUCUCACAAGAUCUGAUGGUUUUAUAAGAGGAAACCCCUUUUGCUUGGCUCCAAUUCUUCUCCAUGCUUCCCCAUGUAAGAUGUGCCUUUCACCUUCUGCCAUGAUUAUGAGGCCUCCCGAGCCACGUGGAACUGGUCUUCAUUACUCCAGCCAAAAAAAUAGUAAUGAAAAUGGAAACACUUCAAGGUUUCUUUGAAGACUAGAAAUAAGUUGGUGAAGGAUAUGGCAUAUAACAGAGCUGGAACACCCUUCUUCUCCUGCCUUUGGACAUCAGAACUUCAGAUUCUCUGGCCUUCAGACUUCAAGACUUGCACUAGUGGCCCCCUGGGUUCUCAAGGUUUUGGCCGCCUCGGUUGAGAGUUACACCAUCGGCUUCUUUGGUUCUGAGGCCGUUGGAGUUGGACUGAGCCAUGCUACCAGCUUCCCUGGGUCUCCAGCCUGCAGAUUGCCUACUGUGAGAUUUAGCCUCCAUAAUCACGUGAGCCAAUUCUCUUAACAAAUCACUUCUCAUAUCUUUCUCCUUCUACAUAUCUUAUUGGCUUUGUCUCUGUGGAGAACCCUGAUUAAUACAGCUUCUAAACUGAUAAAUGCUCACUUAUACCCAUUGAGUUGAGAUUGCUUCCUGUCUAGCCUCAAGGCUCUGUCCUCUGAAAGCCACGCUUGGGAUCUUCAGGUAACAGAAUAUUGGCAUGUAGCACUCCUCAAAACAUAGAAAGCAGAAACAAAUCAAUUCUGCCUGGAGGACCUCCCCGAUCUCAACACCCAGUGGUUUUGACAGAAUUGAUAUAGAAAUAGAAGCUUCAAGCUUCCACCGAGGUGGGAAGGGCAGGUGUCACGAUGCCAUUUCAGAGGCAGCAACCACCAAGACAUGGCAGUGGUCUUCAUGCACCUUCUAUGGUAUCGGGCUUUGUGGCAAGUGCUUUUGUUACCUUAGCUGAUUUCAUCCCUGCAACAACCCUGGAGCAACCUUACGAUGGAGGCAGAAGAAGGAUUCUAUGGUUGGAAACCUGCCAGACUCACAGGCUACGGAGAAGAAAGGCUAAAUCCACCAGACUGUUGGAUGCACCUAAAACAAAUUGCCCUCCGUGGCUUGGUUUCUUAUUAAUAUACUCAUAGAAAUGCACAAGAACUGAAAGCUCGAUAGGGAAACCAAAAAAUAAAAAUUAAAAAAAAAAAGCUGUAAACCAAUGUUUCUUAAAACAUGCUCUGCAGAACACUCGUUUGGUGGAACGUAAAGUGUUCUUUCAUAUUAAAGGAGUUGCGUGUUAAUCGUGUUUCUCUGUCAUAGGACUCUCAUUGCAUUAAUAUGUCAGUUUCCAUUGUGAAUUUCUCAGGAGAGAGAGGCGAGUCUGUGAUAUUCCUCAAAUGCAUGAGGUCAUGGAAUCUAAGAGCAGAAGAGCAUUAGGAUAGCAGAACAGCUUUGAUAGCACAACAGCUCCUUGCAUGUGGUGGAAAUCACAAGUUCAGGGGGACAUUUUACUGGCUGUAUUGUCAGUAGGAUGAAUACUACACGCUGCAUCUUCUGAACUAUAAUACGGUAUCCCUGAGAAACAAAAUUAGAGGAAAUAUUGAUCACAUCUCACCAUUUCCAGCUAAAACUAAGAUGCAGAGUCUGCAAUGCCCCAAAAUAAAUGUGCUCAUUCCCUGAACACAUGGGGCCUUUGUCUUAUUUUGUCCUUUGUCUUAUUAUUU